GACAGAGGUGCCGAGCGUUAGGCGGAAUCACUGGGCUUAAAGCGUGUGUAGGCGGAUCGGUAAGUACCUUGUGAAAUCCCACAGCUUAACUGUGGAACUGCUUGGUAUACUGCCAGUCUUGAGCCAGCUAGGGGCUACCGGAACAAAUGGUGGAGCGGUGAAAUGCGUAGAUAUCAUUUGGAACGCCAAUGGUGAAAACAGGUAGCUGGGGCUGUGCUGACGCUGAGACACGAAAGCCAGGGGAGCAAACAGG
rnacentral:rRNA from 1 species